UACGCAGGGGGCUAGCGUUGCUCGGAAUCACUGGGCGUAAAGGGUGCGUAGGCGGGUUUUUAAGUCAGGGGUGAAAUCCUGGAGCUCAACUCCAGAACUGCCUUUGAUACUGAAGAUCUCGAGUCCGGGAGAGGUGAGUGGAACUGCGAGUGUAGAGGUGAAAUUCGUAGAUAUUCGCAAGAACACCAGUGGCGAAGGCGGCUCACUGGCCCGGUACUGACGCUGAGGCACGAAAGCGUGGGGAGCAAACAGG
rnacentral:rRNA from 1 species